rnacentral:rRNA from 1 species
UACAGAGGGGGCUAGCGUUGUUCGGAAUUACUGGGCGUAAAGGGCGCGUAGGCGGCCCUCUAAGUCGAACGUGAAAUCCCCGGGCUCAACCCGGGAACUGCGUCCGAUACUGGAGGGCUCGAAUCCGGGAGAGGGAUGUGGAAUUCCAGGUGUAGCGGUGAAAUGCGUAGAUAUCUGGAGGAACACCGGUGGCGAAGGCGGCAUCCUGGACCGGUAUUGACGCUGAGGCGCGAAAGCGUGGGGAGCAAACAGG